GCACUGAUUUAUUGUGAUGGAUUCUGGCGGCAUCUUACCGGAUAGCAUUAGACUGAUUCACUUCUUCUAAUACUGUCAGGUAAAGAUGUCCUCAGAGUUUGCUAAAUCGACCAUAUUCUG
rnacentral:precursor_RNA from 10 species